UCCCUGCUGACUCAGUGGUAGAGAACCUGCCUGCCAAUGCAGGAGACGCAGGUUCAGUCCCUGGGUUGGGAA
rnacentral:tRNA from 1 species